rnacentral:tRNA from 1 species
GGUGAGAUGGUUCAGUGGUUAAGAACACUGACUUCUCUUCCAGAGAACCUGGGUUCAAAUCUCAGCACCC